rnacentral:rRNA from 1 species
UACAGAGGGUGCAAGCGUUGUUCGGAAUUAUUGGGCGUAAAGCGCGUGUAGGCGGCUUUGCAAGUCGGGUGUGAAAGCCCUCAGCUCAACUGAGGAAGUGCGCCCGAAACUGCAGAGCUUGAGUGCCGGAGAGGGUGGCGGAAUUCCCCCAAGUAGAGGUGAAAUUCGUAGAUAUGGGGAGGAACACCGGUGGCGGAAGGCGGCCACCCUGGACGGUAACUGACGCUGAGACGCGAAAGCGUGGGAGCAAACAGG